rnacentral:rRNA from 1 species
AAGCGUGCGCAGGCGGUUUUGUAAGACUGUCGUGAAAUCCCCGGGCUCAACCUGGGAAUGGCGAUGGUGACUGCAAGGCUAGAGUUUGGCAGAGGGGGGUAGAAUUCCACGUGUAGCAGUGAAAUGCGUAGAUAUGUGGAGGAACACCGAUGGCGAAGGCAGCCCCCUGGGUCAAAACUGACGCUCAUGCACGAAAGCGUGGGGAGCAAACAGGAUUAGAUACCCCUGGU